AUGUCUCCAGGGAGCAGAAACAUGAAUCGUCUUCUGGAGAAGUCUUCCUUUCUGUUUUUUGCUUUUGUUUGUUUGAGACAGGACCUUGCUAGUACUAGGCUGACCUCGUGUAGCCCAGGAAGUUGUUUCUGUUGUGAAGUUUUGCACGGGGAAGGCAUUUGCCGUGAAGGACAUAUCCUCGUGGAUUCCCAGUUGGUAGCAUGUGGUGGUCGUCAUUAUUCUGUACAACCCCCAAGGCAGCUGUCACAAGGAGGGCACCAAGAGUGGGCCCCCCAGCGUGGAUGUGGGGAGGUUGGGAGGGUGACCCUGGGAUGCCAAGCACAGAGAGACACCAAGUCUGGAGGGUGUGAUCUAGCGAGCUUUUCAUUCUGCAGCCCCAGGGCCGGAAGCACGGAUGUUAUGAAAGUUGCAUUUGACUUUCAAACCAAAACCCAACAUGCAAACAAGCCAGCUUCAGAGUGCACAGCUGUUGAAACCCGAAGGACAACACUCCAAGGAUCUCAAAAGUCAGAAGUGACUCAAAGUCACACAGCUCAUCAGUGGCAUGAACAAGGGCCAGGUCUAGGGAGGGGUCUUCAGAUCCUGUCCUGUGCCUCCUGCACACUUGAUAUUUAUAUUUUAUAAAAGCAGCAAAGCUAGGUGUGGUGGCGCAUGCCUGCAAUCCCAGCACUCAAGAGGCUGAGGCAGGAGGAUCGCAGUGAAUUCACCAGCCUGGGCUACACAGUGAGUUCAAGGACAGCCUCAACUGCAUAGUGAGACCUUGUCUCAAAAACAACAACAAGAGCAGCUCAAUUCCACGUGCCUGGAGAAGCAUCCUGAGUUACUGCCAUCCCUGCACUUGCCACUGAGAUGACUCCCUGCCACCCUCAGUGGCUGGGUAGCAUAGGCCCCUGAGGUGAACAUCCGACCCAGAGAAACCAACCAAGCAGGCUGGGGGGUCUCCCCAAGAAGCACGCGGGGAACCCCAGUGGGAAGGGAGAAGCCAACGCUUGAAGAACUGGGAAACAGAAAACAAAGAAAGAGCAGAAGAAGCUGAGAGCAGAGCUCGGUUGAGAACCAGCUCUCCAUGCCCAGUCUGGGACUUCACUGAUGGGGCACCCCAGAAAUGGACACCCCCCCAUGACUUACUCUACCGCUUCCAGGGAAGCCGGAUAGAGACAGAAAUGGGAUCUGCAAUUUCCAGAACAUCAAUUACUACCUGGGGACCCUGGGCAGGGCCUCUCCUUCCUGUGCUAUGGCCUCAGUUUACCCAUUUGUACAAUGAGGGGCUACUAGCUGGAGAAGCCAUUUCGGCUUUUCUCCUCACCCCGGUGUGGAGAUGUAAACACACGACAACACAACACACCUACAAGAUGAGAGCCAUACAGACUGCAGCGGGAGCUGGCUGACCAAUGGCCGGUGCGGAGGCAAACCCAAAUUGUGCCCCCAGCUUAUUAUAUCAGCCCCUGCUUCCCCGUGAGGGGUGGUGGAGAUGCUGGCUGCAGAAAAGGUAUGGAGAAAAAGCUGUGAGAACUUCGCUCUUUGGGAGACAUUUUGUACAUUGCACAAACAGCCCCUGCUGUCAAGUGAGUCAGAAUUUCCGAAAGGCAUAAUUUUAGUGCCCUUCUUGCGGUUCCCUCUUCAGGCCGCUUCUGCAGGGGAGGCCUGGGCGGGGUUUCCUGUCUCAUUCCAGAGAUGACAGAGGGGUUCUCCCCCGGGCCUUGCCAGAGCUUUCUUUCCAGGCAGCCGUUACUGCGAAGAGGAAUCCAAGUGUUUGCAGCCCUUUCCAGCUCAGAAAUGGCUUACUUACCCUUUUGCCUUCUGCAUGGUCUACUAUAUUUUAUUUUAUUUUUUUGUACUGGGCUGGGAUCGAACUCAGGACCUUGCACUUUCCAGGCAGGUGGUGGCACCACUGAGCUAAAUUCCCAGCCCUGCAUGGUCUACUUUAAAGUGGAAAAAGACCACCACUGAACAAGAAAGUAAGGUCCCAGAUGGGGAGCAGCUCAAUGGUAGAGCGCAUGCUUAGAUGCACAAGGCCCUAGGUUCCGUUCCCAGCACCACAAUAAUUAAUAAUAAUCGUAAAGUCCUAUUUUUGUGCUUUGUUUAUAUUUUCAGUACUAGGGAUUGAACCCAGGGCCUUCAUACUAAGUACAAAUAAAAUAAUAAUAAUAAUAAUAAUAAUAAUAACUAGACAUAUCUGCUACUAUUUGCAGUUUGUAUAUGUUUUAUCACAUUUCUCCCUGUGAAAUUGUCAUUGCUAACCCUGAUAACAGAUGGAAAGCCCCAUGUCCCUGGAGGAGGUUCCAUGGCUUGCAAGGUUCACCUCUGUUAGAUAACAACAGGGAAAGUGGGGCCUGGAGUCCGAGUCUCCUCCUGGAGAGGAGAUCCACAGCUCCCAGCUCUGAGCAGCAGGAGGGCCCUUUCAACUCAGCACAGCUGGCCACCGGGUCUGUGCCUCCUCCUUCUCCUUAUUCCCAGAGAUGAGCGCACAGUAGGUCUCAGAUGUUUGAGGAAAGGUCCACAGUACUCAGACCUGGCCCAGAACCACCACGCUAGAGCUGGCUGAGGUGGGUGUUUACAAGGCCAGGCACAAAAACCGGUAGGAGGUGGGUUUCUAUUAUUAGAUUCUUUCAACAGAGGAGGAAACUGGAGGGUGAGUAACCAGCCACAAAGUUGCAAAUUGGGACAAUUUGUUGCCAUAGCCUGAGUACUUAACUCCAGGCUGGAGCUAACUCUUCCUAGAGGACAGGGAUUUUCUAGGUGGCUGGCUGCCCCACCCCCAGCAGGCUUGGCAGGGCUGGCUCUGCCCUGUACAAAUCACCUGGCCUCUUUGUGCCUCAGUUUCCCUCUAAGACAAAAGCAAACUUUUCCUAAACAGGUGUGGUGGUGCAUAACAGCACGCUGGAAAGCUGAGGCAAGACAGAAUUGCACACUUCAAAGCAACUUAGCUAGACUCUGUCUCAAACUAAAAAAAAGCCAGCAAUGUAGUUCAGUGCAAAGACCCUGGGCUCAAACCCCAGUACUAUCAAUCAUAAUAACGAAUACAUAUUAAAUACAUAAAAAUUAAAAAACCUUUUUCUACCUGGAUGAUCUUUGCAGAAAUUUAACAAGGAGACACACAAAAGCAACCUGAAAGGCGAAAAGUAUCAUCCAAAUGCAAGGAUAAUGACUGUUCACCACUGCCUGUACCUUCAACGUGGCUGAGUUAACCUCAGGGCCUGUGGCAACACCUCUGGAGGAGGAUGAGGUAUUCAAUGGAACACCUGGAACCAGUCAGGGGAGGAACAGCCGAGGAGGCCCGUUGUAGGGCCUUUGUAGGGUUGACCCUCACAAUUACGAUUUAAUAAAAGAUGAAAGUUGGGGGUGUUGUUGACACCAGCGUUUUAACUCCAUGUUAAUCCUGGGCUUUGCCUUGCACCACGGAAACACACACACACAAACACACACUCCAUCACUACCUGCUCCUGUUUGACAAUUCAGUGACCGACUUUCACACUGAUUUCUUCUGCCAGCCCUGCUAAGAAACAAGAGGAAAACAGCCUCUUGGAAGUGUUGGAUCUGGGCCAGUGAACUCCCCAGACUCCUCCCCGCCCCUACACGGGGGGGGGGGGGGGGGAGCAGCAGCAGCAGCAGAUCCUUCUAGUUUUGCAAGUUGCAUCCCCUCAUUAGCAGUUCUUGUCCCAGCUGUGAAGGCAAGCCAGGAUGUAAUUACCUGGGAAAAAAUAAAGAUAAGGGCUGCCAAGGGGCUGUUCCAAGUGCAGCUGGAUGCAGUUGGAUGCCAGAAAGCACCCACUGCCUGGCCUUGGGCAGAGGACAAGGGCAGAGACCAGGGACACCACCUCCCAGCCACCGAACCCUGGACAGUGGGAGUUUGGCAGGAGGUGUGUGGAGGAAGCCCCGGACCAAAGGCAACUGCUAGUGUGAGGCACAGAGAUAAGAUUCGGAGGCUCCCAAGCAAAGUCGGGGCUGGAACCCGGGGCAGGGAUUGGCAGAGCAGUGGGAGGAGGUGGUGAGCAGGGCCUGGGAACCAACUGGGGAGAGGCCACGGGGGAGCCCGCACAUUCUUUUGUUUUUGUUUUACUUGCUGCCUGGUCCACACUGACCUUAAACUCACUAUGUAGCCCUGGCUGGCCUUGAACUCACAGUGAUCCUCCUGCCUCAGCCUCCCUUAAUGCUGGCAUCACAAGCGUGCACCGCCAGGCCCGGCGGAAGCCCGCACAUUCUUGGGCCUUGAGUUUGUGGGAGUUUCCCAUUCCGUGGGAUUCGUGUUCCUCGUGGCCUGGGAUUGUGCUGGGAAGGGGGCGAACAGGGUGCCUUCCCUCACCGAGGUGCCAGAGGGGUGACCCUUUCUUCUUGGACUUCCUGUGUCCGGAGGGGCGCCCCUGCCUGUGCCCCAGCUGGGCUCGGCUCAGAAGGACCAGACCUGCUGUCUCCUGGCGAAUGGUCGCCCCGAGCCACCCCGGAAUGAGGCCAGGCCGAGGCAGGCUGGGGACGUACCUGUAGGCCGGCGUGGACAGCGCUCCCCGGGUCCCCAGGCGCGCAGGGCGCCGCAGAGCGCGCAUCCCCUGGCCGGGCUGCGGUCCCCUUGGGGCGGGAUCGCGGU
rnacentral:lncRNA from 1 species